ACUGUUCUCAAUGUCUCUAUAAUGAGCAUGGUGGAGAGAGGUUACAAAAGGGACCCACAGCAGUGCCGCAUGAAAGUCAAGGAGCUCAGGCAAGCCUUCCAAAAGACAAAGGAAGCAAACAGUCACUCCGGGUCAGAGCCCAUACAUGCCACUUCUAUGAU